CCUACGGGAGGCAGCAGUGAGGAAUAUUGGUCAAUGGACGAGAGUCUGAACCAGCCAAGUAGCGUGAAGGAUGACUGCCCUAUGGGUUGUAAACCUCUUUUAUAAAGGAAUAAAACGAGGCACGUGUGCCUUUUUGCAUGUACCUUAUGAAUAAGGAUCGGCUAACUCCGUGCCAGCAGCCGCGGUAAUACGGAGGAUCCGAGCGUUAUCCGGAUUUAUUGGGUUUAAAGGGUGCGUAGAUGGGUUGUUAAGUCAGUUGUGAAAGUUUGCGGCUCAACCGUAAAAUUGCAGUUGAUACUGGCAGUCUUGAGUACAGUUGAGGUAGGCGGAAUGCGUGGUGUAGCGGUGAAAUGCUUAGAUAUCACGCAGAACCCCGAUUGCGAAGGCAGCUUACUAACCUGAGACUGACAUUGAUGCUCGAAAGUGUGGGUAUCGAACAGGAUUAGAUACCCGGGUAGUC
rnacentral:rRNA from 1 species